CCUACGGGUGGCAGCAGUGGGGAAUAUUGCACAAUGGGGGAAACCCUGAUGCAGCAACGCCGCGUGAAGGAAGACGGUUUUCGGAUUGUUAAAUUCUGUUCUUAGUGAAGCAUCAUGACGGUAGCUAAGGAGCAAGCCACGGCUAACUACGUGCCAGCAGCCGCGGUAAUACGUAGGGGGCAAGCGUUGUCCGGAAUUACUGGGUGUAAAGGGAGCGCAGGCGGGAAGCCAAGUCAGCUGUGAAAACUACGGGGCUAACUUGUAGACUGCAGUUGAAACUGGUUUUCUUGAGUGAAGUAGAGGUUGGCGGAAUUCGGGGUGUAGCGGUGAAAUGCAUAGAUAUUCGGAGGAACCCCGGUGGCGAAGGCGGCCAGCUGGGCUUUAACUGACGCUGAGGCUCGAAAGUGUGGGGAGCGAACAGGAUUAGAUACCCGAGUAGUC
rnacentral:rRNA from 1 species